ensembl:lncRNA
CUAUCUCAUAAAGUCCAGUGCGUCACGCUUAACGGGAACCCGUCGCCAUAUUCUAUAAAGGGCCACAGGUGCGCACGGGAAAACGAGAAAGAAAAGUCGCCAGAACAAACUCCACAGACACAAGCAGGAAUUACACUAUUCUGCUUGAUUAUUUAGUGGUAGAAGUCACAACAUGGGACAGCAAGGCUCCAAACCCGCCGUUGACGCGCGGGUGAUCUUCCAGCGCGCCGGUGCAUCGGACGCGUGCGAGAGAGACGAACGCUGUUCUCCGGCCUCCGUGGUCCGCAUUCAGAAGAAGACGCGCUGAUGGAUGGAAUCAAGCGAAAGCGCCCCAAAUGCUUUGGACACGCGCGCUCCUUGCGUCUUCUGAGCAGCCGGAUGCCGCUGGUUUUUGGGUUCCCUCGCCAAAGCGCUCCACGGAGUCAAAGCGGAUUUAAGUCGUCCACGCGACGUGGUUGAGUUGGCUGGACUGAUCACCGUGAUGUGUUGAUUUAGUCUGUAUAGACGUUGCAUUCGGUGUCAGAUCACACGAGAGGAAUGUCGUCGGUAGGGUUGAAGAGUGUCGUGCACACUGAGUAAACGUGUUCGCGUUGGAAACAGUGCGAUUGUCUUUAAACUGUAAUGUGAUUCAGAUCAAAUGAAAGAAGGGAGUCCGGGUUAAGUGACAGUUGGAUACGUGUUUUGUGGUGACAUCUAUCAUCCACCACUCUGUUGUUUAAACGGACCUUUGUUGUCACAUUGCACUUGUGCCAAGGUGAAAAAUUCCAAUAACUGACCAAGCUUUAUUUAUUUUUCCUUUCUUUUGUAUUUGACCCCUGAUUUUAAAGUCAUCAAUCAUCAAUGUUGAUGGUGGUUUCAAUGUGAUGGACUUGAGGUCAAUGUCGCAAUGUGAGAUGUAGGACUUGAUGUCUGGUCAGAAUAUAUCUCUCUCUCUGCAUAUUGCCAAAUGGGUUGACGUCUGCCUUUGUUUUUGAGAAGACUUUCAUGGGGAAAGUGGGUUGGAAUGCACUUUACAAUUCCCAUGUCAAGGGGAUGUCCGGGUUGGGAUGUUAUGACAUGUGGGACACAAUGAAAAGAUUCAACGACAAAACAAAACAUUAUUGUUUUAUUUAUUUUAUUUGAAGUCUACUGGUUCAGUUAGAAAACUGCUUUUUUUUUCUCUGGCCGGUGGAUAGUGUUGUUUAUCCAUUGAAGUGAGAUAGUUCAAUAACUGUCAAAAUGUGAUUUCAGUCAUUUCAUAAGUUGCAC